UCCUCGUUGGCGCACCAGGCAGCGCGUCAGUCUCAUAAUCUGAAUGUCGUGAGUUCGAUCCUCACACGGGGCA
rfam:Salmo salar isolate Sally breed double haploid chromosome ssa16, whole genome shotgun sequence.